CCUGUUGCACGGAGUUCCGAACAUUAAUAAAUCCUCUCCUCCGCAAAACACUUUCACUUCCUAUCCCAUUCCUUCGGAAACCGGGAAGAGUAACAUGACCACAUUAAAGAGAGGGAUCUUACCGGCUCUUUGGCAAAACCUUAUUUUUAUUCUUUGAAAACAAGACGUUCAGAGGGGUUUUUGCUAUUUGCAGGAGCUGCCUGUUCUCAAAUAUCGCGAUCUCCAAGGAGCAGGGGCAAGUGGGGUCAGCAAGAAGGACCCUAGGGCUUCCGCGAGGCUUCCAGUUCCGUGUGUCUGCGCUUCUGCGUCCGCCGAGGACAACACUCAGCCAGGCAAUUGACUAUAUGACUCAGUCAGAUGGAGGCAAGGCUGACAACAUAGGACCGCUUCACUGUCACCCAGUCACAGAUGGCCAGACUGAAGGAAAGGAGCAGCUACGUUAUGAGGUGAGCAGAGACAAGUAAGCAUCCCAACACAUCCAUCCCACAGUACACGUGCACAUCUGGUACUGAUUCCCCACUUCCCAUCCGGGGAGGUGUGAGUGCGUGUGUGUGCAUGCGCGUGUGCACAUGCGCGUGCCUGUGCGAGUGUGCGAGUCAGAGCAAUCUAAGUGGGUGAGAAGCUCCAGCAAGCGGGCCACGGAGGAGGCGUAUGGGACAACUGGGACAAGGUGCAGUGGUACAAGUUAAGAGGAGGCUGCUAAGAAAAGUGC
rnacentral:lncRNA from 1 species